rnacentral:rRNA from 1 species
AUACGGAGGGUGCAAGCGUUAAUCGGAUUUACUGGGCGUAAAGCGUACGUAGGCGGUUUGAUAAGUCAGAUGUGAAAGCCCCGGGCUCAACCUGGGAACUGCAUUUGAAACUGUCAGACUAGAGUUUGGUAGAGGGUAGUAGAAUUCCUGGUGUAGCGGUGAAAUGCGUAGAUAUCAGGAGGAAUACCAGUGGCGAAGGCGGCUACCUGGACCAAAUCUGACGCUGAGGUACGAAAGCGUGGGGAGCAAACAGGAUUAGAAACCCCAGUAGUCC